GACGAACGCUGGCGGCGUGCUUAACACAUGCAAGUCGAACGGAAAGGCCCUGCUUUUGUGGGGUGCUCGAGUGGCGAACGGGUGAGUAACACGUGAGUAACCUGCCCUUGACUUUGGGAUAACUUCAGGAAACUGGGGCUAAUACCGGAUAGGAGCUCCUGCUGCAUGGUGGGGGUUGGAAAGUUUCGGCGGUUGGGGAUGGACUCGCGGCUUAUCAGCUUGUUGGUGGAGUAGUGGCUUACCAAGGCUUUGACGGGUAGCCGGCCUGAGAGGGUGACCGGCCACAUUGGGACUGAGAUACGGCCCAGACUCCUACGGGAGGCAGCAGUGGGGAAUAUUGCACAAUGGGCGGAAGCCUGAUGCAGCAACGCCGCGUGCGGGAUGACGGCCUUCGGGUUGUAAACCGCUUUCGCCUGUGACGAAGCGUGAGUGACGGUAAUGGGGAAAGAAGCACCGGCUAACUACGG
rnacentral:rRNA from 1 species